GCACCACCAUGUAAAGAAGGCCAAGACCACUCUGGAAUCAGUCAAGGGUGAAAUGGAGUGAGGCAUACCAGGAUAUGUGUGGUUUUACUCUUGGGAAGGAGGUUGAACAGUUCAAUAUUUCUUCUAUAGGAUUGGAGUGACCAGACAUGCUACUGUAACUCUCAUGGUCAUGUGCUGGAAUUAGCAGAUAUUCAACAAUUUGGCCAUCUCGCUGACCUGUUGAUUUCAGAAGACUGCAACAGCUCUGCAAAGCAAGUUGCAAAACACAAUCCAUGGAACUGGCAGUGACCGGAAACCAAUUGGAAGACUUUGGUCUGUGAUGUAGAGGAGAGGGCAGUAGCAGACGCAAAGACAACAAAAAACAGAAGUGAUAUGGAUGUCUUCGUCAUAUGGCAUGACUCUGUCGAUCCAGCAACAAAGAGGAGGGUGUUCAACAUCAUCCUGCUAGUCAGGAUUCUUCAGGAGAAGCAGCGGAUUAUUGUGGCAGAGAUGGCCAACCACUAUAAAUAAUAAUAUAAAAAGUA